rnacentral:lncRNA from 1 species
AUGAACAUCAUCCAUUUAUUAGAUUUUUUUCUUUCAGAUCUUCCGUGGUGGCUUAUUUUAAUUCGGCAGAAAGCAUUGGUGGGCAAACUCCCAGGAGACCAUGAGGUCUGUAAAGUCACCAAGAUUGCUGUAUUGUCACUUUCUGAAAUGGAACCUCAGGAGCUUGAGCUGGAGCUCUGCAAGAAGCAUCAUUUUGGAAUUAACAAGCCUGAGAAGAUUGUACCAUCUCCUGAUGACUCCAAGUUUCUACUGAAGACAUUCACAAAUAUCAAAUCCAAUGUGUCUGCUCCCAACAAAAAGAAAGUUAAAGAAAGUAAAGAAAAGGAGAAACUGGAGAGGCGUUUGCUUGAGGAGUUGCUGAAGAUGUUCAUGGACUCAGAGUCCUUCUAUUAUAGCUUGACCUAUGACCUAACCAACUCAGUGCAGAGGCAGAGCACUGGGGAGAAGGAUGGCCGCCCCCUGUGGCAGAAGGUAUGCUCACGGCACAGGGCAGUCUUGGCUCCUGACCAGUGCCUGUUUGCCUUUUAUAGGGAACUGAAGUGUUCCUGAGCUGAUCUUUCCCUCUACCUUUCUAGGUUGAUGAUCGAUUUUUCUGGAAUAAGUACAUGAUCCAAGACCUCUCUGAGAUUGGUGUGAGUAGAUGCUUUUAAAACAUGGUAGUUGCAGCUGUUGAGCAAAUGUGACUGAUGAAGGUGAUUUUGAGACUUUAUUAGGAGAUUCUCCCAUGGAAGAGACUCAUUUAACUAAAGGAGAUGAAGGUGUUGCCUUCAGGUAGCUUAUAGUCCCACAGCCGAUCUCCUCAGCACUUGUUUAGAUGAAUGUGGUGUCAUUCACCUGUAAUCCCAGGCCAAAGCAAGGGAUGUAUCACAGUGCCAGGUCCUCUGGGCUCUAUAAGUAUGGUCAACUCCAUGCUAGGCUAUAUAGCAGGAUCUACCAUCAGAAAAGGAGGAGUGGGGGCACUAAUAAGCCCAAGGAACCAGUCAUGUCCAUAGAGUUCCUGUAAAGAUCUUUUUUUUUUUUUUCUUACCUCCAUUGGAAAUGCAGAAGCCUAGUUUUCUGUAAUGACAGCACUUUGGUUUAUCUCCGGGGGCUCGGAGCAGAUGGAUCUUUAAGGCCUGACUAGUACUGAAGUGGUUACAAACUAUAGGGUGGUGGCAUGACAGACGGACAGCAUGGAGUGUCUGGUACCUGCGCAUGCACGUGUACCAUGCGUGUGUGAGUGGAUGCACGCUGACAGGUCAGAGGACCACGUUUGGGGUUGGGUCUCUUCACUGUGGCAGGCAGGGAUUGAAGUCAGGUGGUCAGGCUUUCUUGGCAGUUGCUUUUGCCCUCUGAGCCAUUUUGCCUGUUUCUUUCUGGAGUGAUGGUUACUUUCUUCAUUUUCUUUGUGCAGAAGUACUUGAGCAUAGUGACUUUUUGUCAUGUGAUAAGGAUGUCUGAGAUGGACAGGUUAAGGGAAGAAAGGUUUAUUAUGGCUGCUGAUUUCAGAGCAUUGUCCUGUCAGGGAAAGCAUCUUGCCAUGGUAGCCCAGGCAAUAGAGAGACUGGGAUACGGACAUUCACUUUUCCCCCUUUACGCUGUCUGGGCCUCAGAUGGUGGGAUGAUCCCACUCAUGUGCAGUUAGUUCUAGAAACACACACAGAGGUUUGACUCUUCUUCUAGGCGAUUCUGAGUCCAGCCAAGGUGACUGGAGAUUAGCCAUCAGAUCCUAUUACACGUGUUGGAGAAUUAUGGCUCAGGGCUCCUGUGUGCUAUGUGUUUAGACACUGAGACUGGACAGAAGUAAUGGAGUGGGGUCAUCUGCCAGUUUUCUUAGCUUUCAGCUAUUUUCCCUUCCCCCUUCCUCCCUUCCCCCUUUACAGAUGGUUCAUAGCAGUUACUGAGAUCCUAGCCAGAUACCUACCAUGUCUCUAUUGAAGCUGAGGCAUGGGUUGUUCUUAGCUUUCUGAAACUAACCGUGCUGUGACCCUCAAAACUCAGUGACAAGAGUCAGAUAAGGGUGUUUAUAAUGAAUAUUUGUCUUCAUGAUGACAUUCCAGUGUUUGGUGAGCUUUUGUCAGACACUUUCACAUUACUGUUAAAGCUGAUGACGGGAUAAUAUGGCAAAUGUUUCUAUGUUCUUGUCAAGAACUUGGAUUUAUUGCUAGAACAAAAUUAUAAGUAGUAAGAAUAUUAGUAAAAUAAUAAACUAGGCCAACCCUUUACCUAAUUGUUACCAUCACUAGCCUUCUGAAGGUCUGGUUUACAGAAAAAGCAAAGCUAAGCUGUGAAAUUAAUGAGACCCACAGUGCACAGCACAGAGGACAGGGUGGGACCCACAGUGCACAGCACAGAGGACAGGGUGGGACCCACAGUGCACAGUACAGAGGACAGGGUGGGACCCACAGUGCACAGUACAGAGGACAGAUGGAUUUGGAACUGAUGCUGAAGGAGGGAUGUGAUAGCACAUGUCUGUAAUCCCACACUCUAGAAGCUGAGACAGGACAACCUGGGCUACUCAGGGAGACCCUUUCUCAAAGUACACUGUGUGUGUAUGUGCACGCGUGUGUGUGCACAUACACACAUGUGUGCAUGAGUGCACAUUUGUGUGUGUAUCUGUGGAUGUCAGAAGGCAACCUCAGAUGUUGUGUCUCAGGCACCUGGUUUAUUUAGAAACAUGUUCUCUCACUGGCCUGGAGCUCACCAAAUAGGCUGGGCUAGCCUAGCAAUGAGCCCCAGGGAUCCACCUACCCCCACCUACCAGCACUGGGUCAGAAAGCAGUGCCCAUGCCUGGCUUGGCUUUAGCACAGAAGUGCUUUAGACCCAGCUUCUCCCCAGCCUUACUCUGCUGUUUCCAGACAGGAUCUGAUGUAGCUCAGUGUAGUUUCAAACUUGUUAUGUAGCUAAGGACGACAUUGAACUUUCCACUGUGUUUCUUCCUCUCAGUGCUUGGUUUAAAGUCUGAAUGUGUUUAGUUUAGAGGAACAGAAGAAUCUCUGAACAGGACUCUCCUAAUUAGUUAGAUGACAUUUAAAAUGAGACAUUUGUGGAAACACUCUCUGCUGUUCAUUUACUAUUUGAAUUUUAGACUGGUGAGGAAAGUGUCUCCCUAAAGUAGCUUGUGAAGUAAAGCUGGGCCGAGACAGGGCUCAGCUGCAGAACAUUUCCUUGGCAUGCCUGGGGCUCUGGGUUUGAUUCCCAGCCCUACAAAUGACAGCAACAAUGGGGCAUGGUAGCGUGUGCCUGCUGCCAACUAUGUGGAGGCGGAGGUAGCAUGUGUCUGCCAGCCCGUACCUGAGUGCUGAGGCAAAGGCACCACCUACCAUUCCAAGCCUGUCUGAGCUGUAGAGGAAGCUCUGCCUCAAAGUAAGAAGAGGCUGGAGAAGAUGGUUACACAGGUCCAAGCGUUGGGUGCUCUUGGGGAGGAUCUGGGUCUGGUUCUCAGCACCUCCCUCGUCACUCCGGUUUCAGGGGAUCUGACGCCCUCUUCUGGUCUUUGCAGGCACUGUACACACCUGGUGCACAUACAGACAAGCAGGCACAUAGACAUAAUAAUAAAAAGUGGGGUUUUUAUUUAUUAUUUUUAAGUAGUAAACUGUUUUGUCAUGGACGAUCGGGAUUGAUUGCAUUUUGUUAUAGGCAAAUGCAGUUGAAGUUUGAAAAUCAACUUUAAAGCUGUGCUUUCCUAUACCAAAAGGAACAGUUAUAAGAGCAUCAUUGUUAACUACUCCAUGGCAGGCAGUGAGCUUCACUUUACACUACAGCCUUAUGAGGCAGUAGUAGUCCCAUUUCACAGAGGAGGAC